UAAGGAACUGCAGAAGGUGGUGUGUACAGCCCAGACCAUCACGGAAGCCAACCUUCCAUCCAUGGACUCUAAUUACACGACUUGCUCCCGCGGAAAGACAACCAACAUCAAAGACCCAUCGCACCCCGUGCAAUAGGUUUAUGACAAUAUAAAGAUAAAACUAAAGAACUGCAGAUGCUGGGGAUUUGAAACAAAAAAACCAGAGACUGCUGAAGGUCUGGGAAGAAAGCAGAGUUAACGUUUCCGGUCCAGCCACACUUCCUCAGGACGGGCAAUAGCUGGGAUAAAGGGGGAUUGCGUUUUAUGACAAUGUUUUGAGAUGAAAUGCUUUUCCUCCCAUUGAAGAAACUCACUGAAGACCUUGCAGCCUCAUCCUUGAUCCCUGGAGACCCCAAGAGCAAUCGCAAGAGGUUGGCAAGCCGCUCUCGUUGAUCUGAUUUCUAAUAGUGUGGGAUAUCAGUGGUACUGAAUGGCUGCUGUGUUUGCCCACUGCACCGCAGUUAUAAUUCACUGUGUGAAGCACUUUGCAACUUUUUAAGACACAAUAAAGUUGCUCUGUGACUGCAA